rnacentral:lncRNA from 1 species
ACUCUGCCGCGCACACUUCACUACCCUCCGCACCCCCCCAUCCCCACCCCCCUUUUGCUUCCUCUGCCUUUCUAAUUCUCAAUCUGCUUAACCAGGCUUUAGAGGCCAAGCAAAUCUGAGAUCAAUUUUCUCGUUUAGCUCUAAGUGACAUCAUCUAAAAUCAUUGUGCAAGGGCUAAAUAAGGAAACGGAGUCUAAUUCAGGGGCAAACGCCAGGCUAUAUUUAUCAAACGCCAAGCUCCAGAAAGCCUCGGCUAGGAAGCCUCGGCAGUGAAAUCCGAGGUUUCGCUGCUUGGUUCCACUGGGCCUGGGUGGGCCGGGCUGGGCCGGGCUGGGCCGGGUCAGAUCUGUGCCACCUCCGCAGACCUAUUUCUUCCUCCAGGGCUCGGGGUUGCCCGCUCCCGGAAUCCCGGAGUCUCCGCGGCCCGAACCGAGUCUGGACCAUUUAGAAGACGCCGGCAGGUAACUGGCCUCCCCAAACGCCCCGAAAAUUAAAAGCCUUAGGAGGCUUGUUCUGUGUUUGUGGUUUUGUAAAGGCAAUGCCCGCGGCAAUAGGCCUGGGAAAGUCGCACUUUCAUCCACAAAGUUGAGGAGUUGCAAGGAAUAAUUGGGUGUCACACCACAAGCAACCUUGACUCGAUCGGACCCCACCCAGGAUACACACAGACGCGCGCGCGCGCACGCUUCCGAGUUUCCAUUGAGAGUCUGGAAAGAGCAUUUCUUUCUUAAGUACCUGCGCUCAGCUAGAGCUCUCCCGGAGCAUUUUAAAUACUGAAUGCCGAGCGGAGAAGGGAAACAGAGUGUAUUAAUCCCCACUCCGGUUGCCGGUGUCUGCAAGCCUCCUCUAAGCAGCGCAGGCGGCAGCCUGGAUGUCUGUGCGCAUCAAGGAGACUUGCCGGCGCCAGAGUUGUGUCCACAGGUGCACUUGUGCCUCCCAAAGAGCGCGCGUAGAGACCAUUUCCCCUGCAACGCCCCCCAGCCGAACACCCGCCGGGUGUGGCACCUCGGCCGAAACUCCUGGGGCGGCGCGGUGGAGCGUGUGGAGGUUUCCGGGAAGACGCCUACGGCUGCGGCUCCGACUGUGCGGGCUCCCGCCGCCCAGGCAAGAGCGUCCAGGAGCGCGCUGGAAGCUGCGGCGCGCACCUUCCCCGGCGCAGUCUCUUGCCAGCCGGCGAUCACGCAGAGCUGAACCCCGCAGCUAGGCGCGCAGGAAGGGCUGCACAGAGUUUGAAGACACGGCAGCUGUAAGCUGGCGUGAGGAGGCCAAAGGAGCGCGCAGAGCUGCAAGCAAAGGGCGGUGGGGCCUGGACCCUGAAGUGAGUGGCCGACCGCAGCAGCUCAAGGUGCCAUCUGCCUGAGCACCUGGGCAGAGCAAGCGGAGAGGCGCCACAUCCCCGAGAGGCGCUUCGUAGUUGUCCUUGGACCGGGCGCAGACACUCAGUAUUGGUCAGCGCUGGAAAUUUUCUUUCCUUUUGCUGUUGGGGCCGCAGAACCAGUCUCCUCCUUUCCCCUGCUCAGACAAAGGGCACGGGAAGGGCUUUGCUGGGGCAAAGGGGGGUGGGGGGUUCUCUGUCCCACGACAGAUGGGUCGCGGUUAAGACUUUAAUUGCUGACUUUUGGGCCGGAUCAGAUUCCUUUUCCUACCUGCCACUUCCCAGCAGCGAAAAAUCCCCCUCCUGCUGCACUCCUCCGCCACCGGGCUAGGUUGAAAGGAAAAAGCCAAGAAGCGCGAAGCAGCCCGGCUCUGGAAGGCUUUGGAGAGUCCAGCUGACUUGUACACAAUUCGCGGCCUCUGGAGCCUUACCUGCCUUCUUGACUGAAUGCCACCAGUUCGUUUUACGCUUGUGGCUUUUUGUUGAAGUCCCUAUCAUAAGCAAAUGCAGUUUCUGGCUAUGGUUACUGCAAUUCGAAAUAAAAGGCCUGUGAGGUGUGUCCCUCCAGACUGAGAGGCUAUGACUCAGGGUUGGACUUUAUGGAAAAAAAGAAGUUUAUAAAACAAGUAACCCAGUUUCUCCAACCUUUACUGUGGAGCAACAGCGUCAAGCAACAAAACCCAGCAAAGUUUUGCUUGUCACUUACAAGGGUGUUACUGAAAUCUGGAAGGCGAACAAUUAGAAGAUAGCCCAAACAUGCUCUAUUGCUCUACACUGAAAUACUUGCCUCCAAUAAUAGAAAAAACCUGUUUUCGUGCAAUUGAUUGAUUAGCGUUCUGCAGCAGUCCCUGGACAAUUUUAAAGACAUUUUGUGUUUGUGGCCAAAAUUAGAAACAAGCAGACACACACACAAAACAACCAUAUUCAAGACACGGUUCGACUGUUUCCUUGACACUACCCACGAAGUUUAAAGCAUUUUUUAUGUUAUUUUCAAACUUUCUUAAGUGAUCCCAUGAAAUAAAAGUCGAUAAUAGAAAUUAAAACAACACAGAGCAAAGAACGAGCUUAGUGAAAUGGAGAAGCAGUAGAGGUAAAUAAAAAUCCUCGAGCUAGAAAGCUCUAAGAACCGCUUAUAAAUUCAGUUACCUCCUGAACUCCGGCCGAUGGCCACUCCGGCCCGGGAGUGCCCCGCGCCGACCCGCUGGCCUUGGCCGUCUCAGCCUUCAUUAUCGCCACGGCCUUGGCGCCCCCUGCCCCCGGCUGCCCAGGGGAACCAAGUUCCCGCUGCUGGAGUUGGGGCAGAGGAGCCCCGCCUCAUUCAGGAUUCGGUGGCCAGCGCAGAGCCAUUUGAAUAGAAGAAGCCCGAAGUGAAACAGAAAAGCUGAAAACUCCCCGGCUGGGCUCUCCACUUCUCGGUUCUUGCUCACGAGUUCCAAACAGUUAAAGUGACGUUGGCAAGGCCGAGGGCCACCGAGCUCUGUGAGACUCCCUUGGAGGGGUCAGGAAACUUAGCUCGAGAAGCUUGGAGGCGGCUGGGAGUUGGGGCGCAACUUCAGUGACCGGGCGCCGCUGCCGGGCUGGGGCUCCCAAGCGUCCGGCUCCCGGGGUGGUCGACGCGGCGCUGCCUUCGAUCAGGUCCCGCCGACCUCGGGCCUCUGGACCACCACCGCCCCAGCUGGUCUGGCAACCCAUCCCGGGCGCAAUCGCGCUCCUCCCCUUCUCCUCUGCAUUCCCGCAGGUCCUGGGGCGGCUCCAUCCCCCCAAGGCUGAGAGAUGGCGAGGGAGGCUCCAAAGAGUUUCGGGAGGGGGCGCCGGAUCUGGUUUAAGAGACCGCGGAACAGAUGGUGGAGAGCUCCUGGAUGAAAGUUUUUGAACAGGCACUCGCUAAUAGACUUGCUUUGACGACUCAGGGUGUAAUUGAAGGGUCAUUUAAUCUAGACGCAAGGUGAAAGAAAACAGGCCCGGGGGUGUGGCAUACCUAAGGAGGAACUAGAGCAUCUUUUCACUAGGUUUGCCUGUCAUUUUGACUUUCCUGGAAAAUACGUUCUUAAGUCAAAUUUUAAGAAUGUCUGAGAAGCAUCUCUGAGUAUCUCUUCCAAAAACCUUUCGUGUAUUUUUUUAGCCGACCUCCUUCCUCCGAGAAUCCUCCCUUUUGAAGCCGUUUGGCCUGUGCUUAAGAGUAGUUGGGGUCUCCUUAUGGUCCCAGGGCAAAGAGAAUUUUCUAACUAGAUUCUCCUGUUUAAGACCUUAACAGAAAGGCCUUUCUACCUUCCCUUCUUUGGCUUUACUCUCCAAUUUGUUCUUUCAUUCCCGAGUUCUCCCAGUGAAACCCUGCAUCUCCUCUAAAAGAGAGUAUUUCAUGGCUGUCCAAAGAGGGCCAUACCCCGUGGCCACCUCUCGCGGGCCUCCAUAGCCUCUGUAAAAGAGGAAGCACUCAGCCACUGGCCGGCCCCCUUUUGUUGAUGGAAGUGGAUGCUGUUCUGUUUCCUCCCUUCCCGCCCUUAGGCCUCUCCCAGACCAGAUUCUGCACGCCUUGUGCAUGUUUCAAGAGUUGAGCACUAAGAUCCAAUCCCAAGAAGAGGCUUGAUCCAUCAUUAAGAAAUCUUACUACCUUUUAAAAUGUUAUUGCCUUCUCACUUUAAAUUAAUUUAGAAGAUUUUUUUUUUCCCUCUUCCCACUGUCUCCUCUUACUUCAAGUUCAGUUAAUUCUCUGAAUUCACGAACAGUGGGGCUGCCCUCAUAGUUUCUCAGCAGUCCCACACAGAGGAAAAGGCUCCUGGAAACAACGCGAAGCUUUAAGCGCCCCGCGCGGGUGUUGACGCUGGCAGCUCGCAAACAGCGUCCCGCGGCCACGGUGACCCGAGGGGCCGGCCGGCUGACGUCACGAACGCGGCCAGCUGCGGGGACCCGGGCUGCAACCGCGGCCUCUGGCCCCUGCCUUCUCGUUGGGUCGAGGGUGGGAAGGGAAGUUGAGGUCUGGGGUAAAAAGCCGGAAAAAGAAAGGAACAAGGCUGAGAAUCAUUCAAAGAUUAAAUGGGGUCGGCUCCCGUUGCUUGCGAAGACGGAUGAGGAGGGAGAGAGUUGAGGGGGUUGGGGGGGACCCUCUUUUAUCUAACCUUGUGAUUCACAGCUUCUCAGAAAUUUACAUAAUACAAGGGUGUAGAUGUAAACCUUAAGGACAAAAAUAAUAAUUCAACAGCACAUAUUUCAUUUUCGCACCAUGGGCCUGGAUAUGUUCCCGGUGUUGGCACAAUAGCUGAUUUCCAGAGCUUUUUACUCACGGCAGAGAAUAUCUGAACUCUCAUACCACUGUUGAAAUGAGAGGAAAGGAAGGAGAAAAAAGGGAGAGAAAGAGAAAUUGACUUUAAUAAUGUUGAUUUAGAUUUCUGAAUAAUGGUGAAGGAUUUUUUUAAAAAACUUAAGAGCAUAUGUUGUGUACAAAAGGUGCAGGCAUAGUAAUAAUUGGGGUCCUUCACUCUCCAAAGUAUCUAUUUCCUUUUUAUUUGAUUGGCAUGAGCUUUUCAUUUUAAAAGCAAAGUCAUUGCCCUUUAAUAGGAAAUUCCAAUUUAUUAUUUCCUUAAAUAAGUGAAGGUCACAAUGUCUACUGAAAGAGAGACCCUGCUGUCAACUCAACUCCUACUUGCCAACUCAAAUAGAGGACUGAGAAGUAAAAUACAGCAGCAGCAAAAUACAUGUGAUUGCUGUAGUUGCUUUUUGAAUCCCCCAACCCCUCCUUCCCACAUUUGAACUCUUCUAGAUGCCACCAGUAAUUCAAAUUUUGGAGCUCUAUUUGCAGUCCCCCCUUCCCCCCCUCCCCCGACCUCCCCUUGGGACACAGGGCAAAAGGAAAGUCAGGGGCAGGGAUGGUAGGAUCCCAGCAUCCCCUUAUUUUAGUUAAGAGGGGUAGAGGCUCAGGUGCCCUUUGGUCUUUCUCGCUGCGCCUCCUCCAAGUGAGCCUGACUCCCAUAGUCACUUGGAAAGGUAAAUGGCACCACAGUGGGUGUGCAAUUGAGCCCUUCACUCUUAUUGUUUCAGUGUGGGAGUAGUGGUGGCUGGAAGUCAGAAAUGGGAAAGAGGUUUCUUCUCCCUUCUUUGCCUUCUGAAUUUUAGUUUUCUGGGGCUCCCAUUUCUCUGCAAAAUACACACCCAAAGUUGGCCAUAUUCUCUAACAUUUCAUCUAAUCCAUCAGUAGUUUGCAGUUAUUUUAAAGAAAUUUAUAAAGAUUUUAAUUUAAAACAUAUAGAUGGGAACUUAAGAUGAGAAAAUGUGAACUUUUUUUUCAAAAAGUAUGCUAUCUAUUCUGCCCCCACCUCAUCACUAAUAAUGCAGCCCUGAUCAAGGGUAAAAUAUAAACCUCUUUAUUCACCCUGUUCCUCAGUAUCCUUUUAAAGCUGGAUUCUUCAAUUAUCUGUUGAAAUUGUACACAACUGGUCUUCCUUUCUGAGAAAGGUCUUCAUAAAUAUGCAGAAGGCCAAUUUGUCGCGGACAUUUUGAGCACUAGAAUAAAUGUUGCUAGUUUCUGGUGCUGUCUUGGCCUUCCAGCCCAAGUACCCCAACUUGAGGAAGGCCACACAACUAGUGAACUCCUUGUUGAGUAGUGGAUAGUGGUUGUUCCCCUUUGUUUUUUCUGUAAAAUGGGAUUAAAUAAAAGCCCCCUUCAUUCAGAGGAGACAUUGACAUUGAAAAGAAAUUUUAAAAUAAAACCACUUUACAUAUGAAAGGCUAUCACCUUAUUAAAAAGUUAGCUAUACAUUUUUCCAAAAUAUUAUUCAGACAAUUGGAUUUAAAAACAGUUCCUCUGCUCAAUGAUAGAUUUCAGGUUAAUCACAUGGAAAUGUUAAAAUAUACACAGGAAUCAUAUUUGCUAUGUAUUUUUCACAACCUCAAGUACUUUCCUUGUGCCUAGACAUCUGCUCUCCCAUAUUCAGUACUGUGUUCCUGGGGGAACAGUUUCUUCUGUAGAUUCAGGAGAAUCUACAGAAGAAACCUUAGCAAAAACUUUUCAAACAAAAUCCCAAUUUGAUUAAAGCAGAUUUCAUUUCUUAAGAAGUGGUUAUGCAUUUGUAAAAUUAAUCAACUUUCUAUAGACUAUUCUAAUUUUAUGAAAGAACACACCUAGUAAUCACAUGAAGUAACAAAAGAAAUGAGUUUAAGUAAAUGACAAUGAAUACACUUCUUCAAUACAGCAACUUUGAAGUUGUUUUAAAAAAUUAUUACCCGGUUGUCCAGCGGGCAGGACCUAAAAAAAACCCUACUCUCCCAUGAUCUGCCCGCUCAGUUGGUCUUUCCAUGUUACACUUUCCACUUUUUGAGAUUCAGUCCUGUUAGAUUGUGACAUUUUACCAUGAAACUUUCUUUACUGAAACAUUUUCUACCUCCCUACCAAAAUAUCCUUCCGAAGUUACAACUGGUUUUGGUUCCUUGGCAUAUUAAGGAAAUGCCCUACAGAAUAAACUUUAGCAUUUCUUCAGCAUUUAA